UACGGAGGGUGCAAGCGUUAAUCGGAAUUACUGGGCGUAAAGCGUGCGUAGGCGGUUCGUUAAGUCAGAUGUGAAAGCCCCGGGCUUAACCUGGGAACUGCAUUUGAAACUGGCGGACUAGAGUUGAGUAGAGGGGAGUGGAAUUUCAGGUGUAGCGGUGAAAUGCGUAGAUAUCUGAAGGAACACCAGUGGCGAAGGCGACUCCCUGGACUCAAACUGACGCUGAGGUACGAAAGCGUGGGUAGCAAACAGGAUUAGAUACCCUGGUAGUCCACGCUGUAAACGAUGUCAACUAGCCGUUGGUUCUAUUUACAGAAUUAGUGGCGCAGCUAACGCAUUAAGUUGACCGCCUGGGGAGUACGGCCGCAAGGUUAAA
rnacentral:rRNA from 1 species